rnacentral:tRNA from 1 species
CAAAAUGUAGCUUACAGAAGCCCCCCGCUUACACCGAGAAGUUAUCUGUUAAACCCGGAUCAUUUUGA